UGGGGGCUUGCUGCCGAGAGGCGGCACCCCUCAAAUGCAUCGGUUGGGCCUGUGGGUCGAACUCGAUUGGGCGUUGUAUUAUCCUCGCUUUAACGAGAUGUUCCCCUCUUUGUGCCCCUCCACGACCUGCCUUAUGAGUGGCGGUCAAGCAAACUUGAAAUUCUGACCUCAAAUCAGGUAGGACUACCCGCUGAACUUAA
rnacentral:misc_RNA from 1 species